AUUGAACGCUGGCGGCAGGCCUAACACAUGCAAGUCGAACGGUAACAGGAAGCAGCUUGCUGCUUUGCUGACGAGUGGCGGACGGGUGAGUAAUGUCUGGGAAACUGCCCGAUGGAGGGGGAUAACUACUGGAAACGGUAGCUAAUACCGCAUAACGUCGCAAGACCAAAGAGGGGGACCUUAGGGCCUCUUGCCAUCGGAUGUGCCCAGAUGGGAUUAGCUAGUAGGUGGGGUAACGGCUCACCUAGGCGACGAUCCCUAGCUGGUCUGAGAGGAUGACCACCCACACUGGAAGUGAGACACGGCCAGACUCCAACGGGAGGCAGCAGUGGGGAAUAUUGCACAAUGGGCGCAAGCCUGAUGCAGCCAUGCCGCGUGUAUGAAGAAGGCCUUCGGGUUGUAAAGUACUUUCAGCGGGGAGGAAGGGAGUAAAGUUAAUACCUUUGCUCAUUGACGUUACCCGCAGAAGAAGCACCGGCUAACUCCGUG
rnacentral:rRNA from 1 species